rnacentral:tRNA from 1 species
GCGGUAUUGGUGUAAUCUGGUUAGCAUAGGAGACUGUGGAUCUUCUGGUCCGGGUUCAAAUCCCGGGUACCGCC